AUGCCGGCUUUUAAAACACCAACGUGGGAAGAUAGCCAACAUCGUCCUGAAAAGGUGGUGUUCCUGGGGGCCGUACUUUGGAAAAAGCUUAUAGUUCGAAAAUCACUAGACGUCCUCCUCCUGACUCCUGGAGCAUUCUGGAGAGUACGAGUUGAAGAAUCUCAACUUCACAGUGCUCUGGGUCCACGCCCCAAACACAAGAAAAAGUACUGGGGUCUCUUCUUAUGUUACUGA
ensembl:lncRNA